UCGAGCGGAAAGGCCCCUUCGGGGGUACUCGAGCGGCGAACGGGUGAGUAACACGUGAGCAACCUGCCCCUGACUCUGGGAUAAGCCCGGGAAACUGGGUCUAAUACCGGAUACGACCACCCGCCGCAUGGUCUGUUGGUGGAAAGUUUUUCGGUUGGGGAUGGGCUCGCGGCCUAUCAGCUUGUUGGUGGGGUGAUGGCCUACCAAGGCGACGACGGGUAACCGGCCUGAGAGGGCGACCGGUCACACUGGGACUGAGACACGGCCCAGACUCCUACGGGAGGCAGCAGUGGGGAAUAUUGCGCAAUGGGCGGAAGCCUGACGCAGCGACGCCGCGUGGGGGAUGACGGCCUUCGGGUUGUAAACCUCUUUCAGCAGGGACGAAGCUAACGUGACGGUACCUGCAGAAGAAGCGCCGGCUAACUACGUGCCAGCACCGGG
rnacentral:rRNA from 1 species